CCUACGGGUGGCAGUAGUGAGGAAUAUUGGUCAAUGGGCUUACGCCUGAACCAGCCAAGUCGCGUGAGGGAAGACUGCCCUAUGGGUUGUAAACCUCUUUUGUCAGGGAGCAACGCCGGCUACGUGUAGCCGGACUGAGAGUACCUGAAGAAAAAGCAUCGGCUAACUCCGUGCCAGCAGCCGCGGUAAUACGGAGGAUGCGAGCGUUAUCCGGAUUGAUUGGGGUUAAAGGGUGCGUAGGCGGAAUGCCAAGUCAGCGGGAAAAUCGCGGGGCUCAACCUCGCUCCGCCGUUGAAACUGGCGUUCUGGAGUGGGCGAGAAGUAUGCGGAAGGCGUGGUGUAGCGGUGAAAUGCAUAGAUAUCACGCAGAACUCUGAUUGCGAAGGCAGCAUACCGGCGCCCAACUGACGCUGAAGCACGAAAGCGUGGGUAUCGAACAGGAUUAGAUACCCGGGUAGUC
rnacentral:rRNA from 1 species